GUUUGGUUCAGCCAUGCCAGCAUUCGAAUUAAUUAAUCACAGCGUCAUGUGUCGAACGUUGUGGUUUAUUUUAAUCGAAAAUUAACGUUUUCACGUCAUUGGGGCCCAUGUGAUGUUGUGAGCACAGCCCCAAUAGCCUCAGCCAUGUCCGUCUUGGUCGAACCGUGUUCUGGUCCGAUAUGGCGAAAGCGUCCCUUCAAGGGCCUGGAUGGCCCGGAUGUGAAACGAAGUCGCGUCGCCCAACUGCAGCUGGAACCCGAGAGACCGAGAUCAUCGGACGAAGAUACUGAGAGCGUCAGCAGCAUACAAGAGAAGGAAACUGGUACGAAAGGAUCAGCCGCUGUAGCCACCCGGACGCGGACUGAAGAUUGUAAACAUUUCGUUUUAGAUUAUGUUAAGGACGCUUCGGAACCAGAGUCCCAGACCUCAGUACAAAGUUCCACCGAUGAAUAUGAAGUCGAAGUGGCGUACGAGGUGGAAUCUAAUGGAAAUUCCAGCGAUAUUUCUUCACCUGAAUCAGAUAUGAUGGUGGCUGUGGCAGCUGCAAUGAUAUGCAACAAGCCCUUGGACGCAUGGCUAACUGAUGCUGAGGCGUCGUACUCAGAUUCUAGCACUUCAUUGGACGAGAUCGCCUUCAGACGACAAGAGUUCACCACCUGCUUGCUAUGCAAGACCAAGAACCCCAACCCACUCUACAGAUACUGUGAACAAUGUUUUCAGGAGAGAAAGACAUUAUUGCCGGCGCGGCCCGUCCAGAAACGGUGUUGGGUGAAAGCCAAUAAGUACAAGUCUAAUGAAAUCGCUGCCUUGAAGGCCUACCAGAGCGGCCAUUCGCAAGAUUCCGGCAUGGGCUUGAGUGAGGAGAUGUCGCCUUAUGGACUGGAGCCGACCAUCACAGUGUAUAGAUCAGAUGUCAUCCUGUGCAGUACCAGUAGCUCCAGCCCCUCCAGCGCUCAAGGACCUUCCAAAGGUAGCAGGAGACCUUAAGAGCGAACUGGAAGGUUUCAGCUCGAGCAAGCUGAAGAAUGCAGAAACUCAGGAAAAAAUCGUUCUGCCAUCGGCCGAAGAUGUGGCCCAGGAAAAGACCCACAACGCCCUUAUUGCGGGAGUCGAAAAUUUUAACAGUUCCUCAUUGAAACGAACGGACACCAAAGAGAAGAUUGUGCUACCGAAUGCACAAGAUUUAGCCGCAGAGAAGACUGAGAAAGCUUUGAUUGAAGGAAUCGCGAAAUUUGACCCCGCCAAGCUGAAGCACACAGAGACCCAGGAGAAGAAUCCGUUGCCCGAUAAAGAUGUGAUCGAGCAGGAAAAGGCGCAAAGCAACCUGCUGUCCGGCAUUGAGAACUUCGACAGCACUAAACUGAAGCAUGCAGAAACGCAGGAGAAGAACCCACUGCCCACCAAAGAGGUGAUCGAUCAGGAGAAGAGCGCCUAAGCCCCACAACGCUCAAGGAACGAACCACAAGCCACUUUUGUACUUUUUUUACUUUUAUAUGAUAUUUAAUAGUAUAUUUAUUACCGAUAAGACAUGUGUGGCCGAGUCGGAUCAAGUGGCGCCCAAUUUUUCCAUUUCGCAAUGGGGCCCGGUCUUGGUAUAUCUAUUAAUGUUUUGCGACUAAGUCAUGCCAAAUGAGGGUGUUUAAUUGCUGUGAACGACGGUCCAGGGGAUUUUAUAGAUGCGUCUAGAUAUGAUUAUUUUGCGUACAUUUAUGGUGCUUUAAUAAAUUUGUUAAAAUGUC
rnacentral:misc_RNA from 1 species